rnacentral:misc_RNA from 1 species
GAUGAAGAACGUAGCAAAAUGCGAUAAGUAAUGUGAAUUGCAGAAUUCAGUGAAUCAUCGAAUCUUUGAACGCACAUUGCGCCCUCUGGUAUUCCGGGGGGCAUGCCUGUUCGAGCGUCAUUACAACCCUCAAGCUUUGCUUGGUAUUGGACAUUGCCAGUUUCUGGCAGGUCUUAAAAUCAGUGGCGGUGCCAUUUGGCUUCAAGCGUAGUAAUUCUUCUCGCUUUGGAGAUCCAAGUGGUUACUUGCCAAUAACCCCCAAUUUUUUCAGGUUGACCUCGGAUCAGGUAGGGAUACCCGCUGAACUUAAGCAUAUCAAUAAGCGGAGGA